AAAACUUUUAACAACGGAUCUCUUGGUUCUGGCAUCGAUGAAGAACGCAGCGAAAUGCGAUAAGUAAUGAUGAAUUGCGAAUUCAGUGAAUCAUCGAAUCUUUGAACGCACAUUGCGCCCGCCAGCAUUCUGGCGGGCAUGCCUGUUCGAGCGUCAUUU
rnacentral:rRNA from 1 species